UCUAAUGAUGAGUUACUUCUGGAAUCUCGUUCGUCUGAACAGCUGUUGAUAAAUUUUCAUAUCUGAUGUCU
ensembl:snoRNA SNORD30 Small nucleolar RNA SNORD30